UACGUAGGGUGCGAGCGUUAAUCGGAAUUACUGGGCGUAAAGGGUGCGCAGGCGGUCUCGUAAGCUGGGUGUGAAAGCCCCGGGCUCAACCUGGGAAUGGCAUGGGAAACUGGCUUGCUGGAGUGUGGCAGAGGGGGGUGGAAUUCCGCGUGUAGCAGUGAAAUGCGUAGAGAUGCGGAGGAACACCGAUGGCGAAGGCGGCCCCCUGGGCCAACACUGACGCUCAGGCACGAAAGCGUGGGGAGCAAACAGG
rnacentral:rRNA from 1 species